rnacentral:rRNA from 1 species
UACGGGGGGGGCAAGCGUUAUCCGGAUUCACUGGGUUUAAAGGGUGCGUAGGUGGGCUAGUAAGUCCGUGGUGAAAUCCCCGAGCUUAACUCGGGAACUGCCGUGGAUACUAUUAGUCUUGAAUAUCGUGGAGGUAAGCGGAAUAUGUCAUGUAGCGGUGAAAUGCUUAGAUAUGACAUAGAACACCGAUAGCGGAGGCAGCUUACUACGCGAUUAUUGACACUGAGGCACGAAAGCGUGGGGAUCAAACAGG